rnacentral:rRNA from 1 species
AUUGAACGCUGGCGGCAUGCCUUACACAUGCAAGUCGAACGGUAACAGGUCUUCGGACGCUGACGAGUGGCGAACGGAUGAGUAAUACAUCGGAACGUGCCCAGUCGUGGGGGAUAACUACUCGAAAGAGUGGCUAAUACCGCAUACGAUCUGAGGAUGAAAGCGGGGGACCUUCGGGCCUCGCGCGAUUGGAGCGGCCGAUGGCAGAUUAGGUAGUUGGUGGGAUAAAAGCUUACCAAGCCGACGAUCUGUAGCUGGUCUGAGAGGACGACCAGCCACACUGGGACUAAGCAACGGCCCAGACUCCAACGGGAGGCAGAAGUGGGGAAUUUUGGACAAUGGGCGAAAGCCUGAUCCAGCAAUGCCGCGUGCAGGAUGAAGGCCUUCGGGUUGUAAACUGCUUUUGUACGGAACGAAAAGGACUGCCCUAAUACGGUGGUCCCAUGACGUUACCGUAAGAAUAAGCACCGGCUAACUACGUGCCAGCAGCCGCCGUAA